GCUUCCUUGGCUCAGUUGGCUAGAGCGCCAGUCUCAUACGUAUGAGUGAGCGUUGCUCAUCUAAUCUGGAGGUCGCAAGUUCGAGCCUUGCAGGGAGCA